rnacentral:tRNA from 1 species
GUCGUGCCUCAGUGGUAGAGCACUCGCCUGGCAUGUGCGGGGCCCUGGGUUCAAUCCUCAGCACCACA